rnacentral:rRNA from 1 species
UACGGGGGGGGCAAGCGUUGUUCGGAACUACUGGGCGUAAAGGGCUCGUAGGUGGCCAACUAAGUCGGACGUGAAAUCCCUCGGCUUAACCGGGGAACUGCAUCCGAUACUGGAUGGCUUGAGUUCGGGAGAGGGAUGCGGAAUUCCAGGUGUAGCGGUGAAAUGCGUAGAUAUCUGGAGGAACACCGGUGGCGAAGGCGGCAUCCUGGACCGACACUGACGCUGAGGAGCGAAAGCCAGGGGAGCAAACGGG